GGCAUGAAGGUCUUUCCCCGUAUGUUCACUGCGUGGAUGCCACUUUGUGUCCGUUCGUGAUGUAGUGAUGUCGUACAUACGUUCGGAGCAAAGCUUCUUGCUGUGGGUGUUUCGUGGCGCGGUGUUUUCCCCUGUUGUGCCGGCAAGCAGCAACAGCAGCAGCGACAGCAAAAGCACAAAGGCAGCAAACUGCAAAGAUAAGUUCAGCAAACACAGAUAGAAGCUGCAAAGCCGGCCGAUGGUUAUUGUUGCGGUGUUCAGUGGCUUGUAUUUGUGCGCAAUUGUAUGUAUGUUGUUACAGGGUGGUUAACUUCGCCAGCGGCCCCCUUUCCCGGGGCAGUCCCUGCUCUCCCCUGCUAGAGGGGCACCCUAAUCCGUCACCCCAUCCGACUUUAGAAUGUAUUCGUUGGGUUCGGCAACUCACCACCAGCAUCCAACCAAAUCUAGCGGAUCAACGGCGCAUCAACUUAGUUCCUGGUCAGCUCGCAAGUUGAUAUUAUCACGUCCUACACCGUCCAUAAGAUGGGGGGCCACCUCCCAUUUCAUCACUCCUCUAACACCCGAGGAGCCGGCAGGCGGAUUUGAACCCGGGUCGACUGGGUCGACUGGGAGCAGAAGUCAGGCCUUAACCUCUGCCAGCCGCCUGCCUAAUUGUAUGUAUGUAUGUUUGUAUGUUGGUGUUCAAAUGUGGGUGAGAAUGUGCUCGCGCGCGCGCGUGUGCGUGUGUAAGUGUCUGUAGGUGUGUGUAAGAGGGUGUAUGUGUGUGUCCACGCGCACGCAUGUAUACGUAUGUGUGGGUAUGUGUGAGGGUGCUACUGUUUUUACUUGUGAUGGAGAAUUCCCAACUGCCCGCGAUCCGCCUGUGUGCUUAUUAGUAUGUUUCUGCAUUUUGUGCGCAGCUGCUCAUGUUGUUUUGCCGUGCAAAGUCUGUGCUCGUUGCGUCCCCUGCUAGCUGAUUAACAGCGUGUGUGUGUGUGUAUUUCCCCGCCCGCCUCCCGCCCGAUCCCCCCGCCGGUCUGAGCGAGCUUGGGCGAGGACUUCCAACAGGACAACAUGUAUCGGCGCGACGAGCCGUCGCCACCGCCGUACAUCGCCGUACAUCGCCAUCAUGUGUGAAAGUGUAAGUACGAGAGGGGCCUCGUUUCACACGUCCCCCCCCGUCCUGCAACGCUUUGCCAUGGCAUGUCGGAUUUGGGAUGCCGGAUUUGGAUUGCCGACCACCAAUCAAUCUGCAUCAUCAAUCCUUUGUUGUGGUAUGCAUGAUGGCAUGGCAUG
rnacentral:lncRNA from 1 species